UGCUGAGCCACAGGCCUGCAGAGGGCACGCCAGUGUCAGCUGGGGUAAACCCAAUGGAGACAGCAUCUCGGGACAGCAGGUCAAGGACAGGGAUGGCACCAAGGGAUGAGCCUGGGAUCCCUGCAGGGUCCUGGUGUGGGCACCAGUGCUCACCUGCAGCCUGAGGGACCCUCGACCCACCGACCCAUGAUGCUACUGCUCAGCAUCAAGGUGCCCUAUGGAAAACAGCAGUAUUGCCUGGGACUUACAGUUGUGGCUUCAAACAAGUGGAAGACAACAUAGACAGGCAUGACCCAUGCCACCAAGUCAGCGAUCUCCCUGAGGACAGAGACAAGGCAAUGAUCACUUUUGGGAACUGACCUCUGUGCACCGAGGCCAGGAGCUGGGGGCACUCACUUGUCCUUGGUGAAGAUGUAUCCCAGCACGUUCUUCGUGGAGGCUAAAAUGAUCCCCACGGCUAUGCAGAACGCCCCUGGAAACAGAGCAAAGUGCUGAGCCCAGCCUGGCCAUGAUGCAGAACUGCUGAAGGGAGAGAGCAGUGGGAGAAGUGGCAAAUGCUCCCUGCCCCUGCUCUACCUGGAAGGAGCCCAGAGGCAGAGGCUUCCCAGCGUGUCAUGGACUGACCUGUGCAGAGCAGGCUGGUGGUGGAGGAUCUCUUGGCUGUCUCGAAGUCUCCAGCACCCAGAGCAUUCCCCACCUGCACACUGGCAGCUGUGCCGAGCCCCAGGGGGAUCUGCAACCACAGGGCUGAGGCUCGUGUGUGUGUCUGGGUAACUGGGCUGUCACAGUGACAGUGCAGUAAUGACCCACCAGAGAGGGGGACGGAGUUUAGGAUUUGAUUUGAGGCAUCUCUGUAGGAGGGAUAGGCAGGAGCAGAGAGAGGCUUAAGUGCAGACGGGGAAGAUGGAGGUUUGCUGGAGCUGAUUUUUGCUGGGUGCCUAUCUCGGGACGGUCCCCAUGGAGCCCUGAUCUGUAAUAAUAACCCCAGUCCUUACCAUGAAAGCAACGACAGACACCUCAUAGAUGAUGGACUGGGCGGAGAGUUCGACAACGCUCAGCAGGCCUGGGGGAGAGGAAGGGGGUCAGUGCUGGCUGUGGGUUCCCAGGGGAGAGCUGCUCUCAGCCCCUGCAGCUGCUGCAGAUACUGCUCUGGGUCAUCUCCUGGCAGCUCCUCUCUCCACUGACCUAUCAAGAAGCUCCCGAUUUCGUAGGUCCACCACUCAAUGCACAUCAUGAGCAUGCUGGGGAUGGCCAGGGAGGUGAAGCUGUCCCACUCCAGCAGGCACUCGCUGGACCAGCCUGCAGAGAGGAGAAACAUCACCUGAUGGAUGACCAGACUGGACAUGUGUUACACCCUGGAGAGCACCUGAGGCAGCUAGAGGUGCCAUUCCUGUUCACAGCCACCAGGGCAAUGCUCCUCAGCUCCACAGGACCUCCAGCAGCAGAGCUCCACCUACAUGCUCUCCGAUGUCCUGUGGGCCACAGGGCAGUGCAACCCUCAGCCCAUCCCUCCCAGAGCAGAGUGUCUAAGGGCAACCUCGUGCUUACGUCUGUGCUCAUCUGGCUUUGGGGCUGAACCCUUGAAAGCCUCAGCAGGAAGUUUCAUUUCUCCAGAAUUAAUGUUUAGUGCCCAGCACGGGCCCUGCCAGCGCUCGUGCAUGACGUGCUGCCACCGAAGCAGCUCUGUGGUACCCGGGGUGUGUGGGGCUGGGGUUAAUAUUUCACCAUCGGGACAAACAGAGUUUGUCUUCCAUCAGGAAUGCUUGAUAGAAGUGGUGGAAGUUUUAUGGACACCUGGGUAAAGCGUGAACCAGAGGGAAUGGGGGGGAUGCCCUCACCUCCCCAGGUCUUCACGUGGAGUUUCCUGCCUAUGAUGUACAGGAACAAGAAAAUGGCUUGCGAGUACUGAGCAACGGUGUUGGACCAGGCAGAGCCCCUGCAGAGGAAGUGAGAAAGGUCUGUCUCCAUCCUCCUUAAGCCUCCCUGGCCUCAGGGUGCUGGGACAUGACAUCCUGCCAUGCCCCUCUGAGCAGGAGAUGCUCGGUGUUCUCUUGCCGCUGCCAGGUGCCACAUUGUCCCCUCUGUGGGACACAGGUGCAACUCACGUGAUGCCGAAGUGGAACACGUAGAGGAAGAUGCAGUUUGCAGCCACAUUGACGAUGUUGCCGAUGACUCCACUCAGCACCAGCGGCCACAUGAUCAUCUGCAAAGAAGAGGGGACGGGGCCACAGUGUCUUCACACCUCCAGGAGGGAGGUGUGAAGGUCCCCACCAGCCCCAGGGCUCAGCGCCUUUCCCAGGCAAAUAAUGAACUUCCAGUGACGUUGCCUGCUUGGAAAACGAAUGUGUUGGAGGUCUGCAAGGCGAAGAGGGCAGUGGUAAAGUCAGCUGGUGCUGGGGGAUAGGGACCCCACAGAGCACAGAGCAGCCGUGACCACCCUGAAGACCACCCAGGAAGGAUUUGGAGCAUGGAUCUCCCUGUUAUGGGAUUGCUACCCAGGGACAAGCUUUCCCAGCUCACAGGAGCAGCCAGGGCUCCAUAGGGCAUCAUCAGCUGAUGCUGGAAAUCCCUGUGUCCCCAAGACAAGUGCCAGCAUGUCUUACCCACCUGUGAUAUCAAGGUGUCACAUGCUGAAGUCAGACCAUAACCUACAGAGAUGGCAGUAACAUUUAUAACCUGGGAACGGGAGUCAAGAAAACAAAGAGUGAAGGUGAGCAUUUAAGACUUUCAGGUAGGGAGAGGGGUUAAAAGGAAGAGUGGCAAUCUGAAAUCUCCUGUCCUUUUCUGCUGCCAUUCCUUUAUCCCAUCCCAGCAUCAGCGGGCCAGGGGGGAGCUCGUGCCUGGCACUGGGAAUGCUUACAGCGAUGGCCAGCGUGACGGAGGCCAGCUCAACCUUGCCCAGGUGGCCACAGAAUAUGGAGCUAACGAGGUGUAUCAGGAAGAUCAGCAGCUGGAUCAGGAUCUAAGCACAGAGGAGAGGAGAGGAGAGGCGAAGCUCCCGGGUGUGAGAUUGUCCUGGCCGGCGGCCGCUGCCUCACCGUUCUCCUCGGGGAGGUUCUCUGUCUUCGUGCUGCCAUUCUCCUCAGGAAGGUUCUCCGGCUUCAUGCUGCUGCUCUGCCAGGGGAGUGGAACAACCCCUCCCUCCACGCUCUGUUAAACCACGGUGGGCCCACAGGUAACCAGCACUCCGAGCCAGGGUGACAGGGAGGUGCCAUCCAUCUGCUUUACACGGGAUUUACCUCCAAGGGCCCAGCAUGUGCCACGUCUCAGUCACUCAGCUGCAGGUCAAGAGUGAGCUACAGGCAGCUUUGCACCCUCCACGGCACCCCAGCCUGCAGGGAGGAAUCACUCCACACGCUGGAAUACUCACUGCUGUCGCAUCAAACAAGUGGAACGGACCAAAAAUGAUCAUCACUUUGGACACCAAGUUAAUGAUCUCCCUGUUGGGAAGAUGACCUGAGCUCACCUGUGCACAGCAGUGCAGUGAUGCAGGAGGUCUUGGCUUGCACCACAUCCCCCGAUCCCAAGGCAUUGCCCACCCUGACACUCGCAGCCACGCUGAUGCCCAGAGGCACCUGAGCAGCAGGAGACAAGAGGAGGUGAGUGGCAGCAGAGCCUGCAGUGACAACAGAGCCUGCAGCAAUUUUUUUCUUCUCCAGAGGGGAAUUUGGGACAAACUGGGCACGGCUGCAGUAAAGGGAUUUUCCAUCUGCAGCACACCCUGCAUGUGCAGCUGCUGUGGCAGGUCUGAGAGGCAUCACCUGCCUGGUACUGCCCCCUGUUCCCACCUCAGAUUGACCACAGAGCCACUGUUUGGGGGCUGCUCCCAGGCUGUUUGGGGUUUCCUACACCCAGCUCUUACCGUGUAGGCGGCACAGGCGAGCUCGUAGAUGAUGGAUUGUGCACCCAGCUCCACCACACUGAGCAGCCCUGCAAAAGAUUCAUCACCUCCUUUGUUUGCUGACAAGGAGGCAGCGACUACAGGGUUCCCACUGAAGGGAUGGGAACACCUGCAGUGUCCUGCAGACCCGGUCCUGUAGGUGAGGAAGCUGCUGGCAGGAGGAGCUCUGGGGACACAGUCAAGAAGCAGCCACCAGAGCAGGUACAGCUGUAAGGCAGCCUGUUGAACCACAGGAAAAAGAGGAUUUGGACUCACCAGCCAAGAAGCCCCCAAUCUCAAAGGUCCACCACUCAAUGCACAUCAUGAUCAUGCUGGGCACUGCCAGCCAGAUGAAGGAGCCCCAGUCCAGGAGGCAGUCCCUGCUCCAACCUGCAACGAGGAUGUGAAGCAAAAUGAACACAUGUUCUCCCUCUCCAUCCCCAAAGGGGAACCAUAUGCUCUUCUGGACAGUCUCAGAGGACAACCAUCACUGCAGCUCACAGGACACCUGCCUAGGAUUGCUGCUAUGCCAUGCUGCAUUCCUGAGACAGGAUGUUCAACAAGAAUGUAUUUGGAGCUACAGUAAAGGCCUUGAGGACAUGACUUCAGCAUCUUCCCACUGUGAGGGGAUGACAAUCCCUUUGUCAGAUGCUGGUGACUGUGCCAAAUUCCCAGGGUCAGACACUGGUAUUCUGAAGGAUUAAACUAUAACAGUACCUCCCCAGGUCUUCACAUGGAUCUUCUUCCACCACAUGUAAAGGAAGAGGAGGAUGGCCUGGGUGUACUGAGAAACAGUGUUAGCCCAAGCAGAGCCCCUGCAGAGGGAGAUAGGCAAGUUACAAGUGACAUCCUUCCCAAUCUCCUCAGCUACAGCAGGAGAGACCCAGUGAGUCUUGCUCAAGCCUUGUACCACACAAGCCUUGCUCCCUCCAGCCUCAUCUUUGCAGGCUGGUUGUCUGGGGGCAGAGGGUGGCAGAACUGGGCACCCAGGACACCCCCCCAGCCUUGAGCACACAGGGAGAGACUGUGACCACCCCUGCUCACACUUACACCAUGCCCAGCUUCAGUGCAUAGAGGAAGAAGGCGUUCAUGGCCACGUUGAGGAUGUUGGCUGCAAUCCCGGUCAACACCUGAGGCAGAAUGAUCGCCUGGAAGCCAAGGAGGGACUUUGGACUUUGAUUCCCCAGUGCUGCCCAAGCCCCAUCCAGUAAACACAAGGGAGAACUUCAGCAGUGCCCAAGGAGAAAGCCAGCUCCUGUUCCAGCUGGUACAGAAACGCCGCCUGCAAGAGUCAGGAUUCAGUUCAUCAUCAGACCAUUGAACACUGACAGACCAGUCCCCCCACCACCUUCUUGGGGUGCCCCAGCCAGCACCUUCCCGACACCCCGUUCCUGUGCUCUGUCUGAAGUGUGGCACCUGCCAGCACUGCACCUAAAAGUGUAACAGAAGACAUCUCCCAUUCCCACUGGGAAGAGAGAUCAGUCUCCAGAUGGGAAAUCUCCAAUGCUUCCCCAUCAGCCUGAGAAAGCUUGGAAAGCUUAGAAGAAAGGAUAAACCUACAGACCCUUAUUCCACAGGGAUACUGUUCCCUGCCUUAGAGAAGUCGGAGUAACCAGCUGGAGCCCAGCAGCUGUGUGUGAACAGCAAGCUCCAGCCUUCAUUUUGGAGCUAAGAGUGAGCCUGGAGCCCCUGGUUCCAAUAUCCGCUACCACUUGUGUGGCCACAGCAAAAGCCUUUGCACAGGAAGAUCAGAGACCUCGUGUUUGCUGGUCCAGCAGCUGCUGGCCAAUGCACAUCUGUUAAGGCACAAAGUCAAGGGACACACUGUAAAACCCUAAACCUGCCCUGUGAGCCACACAGCAAAGGCCUUCCCUCCUUUCCUUCAUGUUACUAAGGGACACAGAGCUUCUAACAGCUUUAGCAGAGACUUACAGGAAGUGCUGGAAUGAAGAUCAUCACGUAGACCUGAGUUAACCUGGAAAGAGAGUUGUUUCCCCAGUUGGUAUUACAGCAAAGCAAGAGCCAAGCCAAACAGCGUUGUGCUCAAGCACCAGAGAGGCUUGAUUUCAACACUACAGAGCAACCCACCCACAGCAAAAAGCCCGAUCCAGAAGGGCUGGAUCUCACCCCUGACCUGGAGACCUCGGGGUCCUGUCGGAUGAGCAGGAGGAUUUGCUCAGUGUUGACGAAGAGUGCCCAGCAAGGGAAGCAGCACAGCAGCAGGAUGAGGGUGCCCCGCUGCAGGAUGGUGCCCACCUGCUUCAGGUUCUUGCUGCCAUACAUCUGAGCGAGGAGAGAGAGGACCAAGGUGGGGGUCUCAGGGAGCCAAAGGGUCUGGGCAAACUCUUAGGGCAACAACAGGCUGAUUAAAUGCAUUUCCCACAUCCUGCAGCGGUGAAUGCCAGGCUGGUUGGGUGUCACUGGCCUUCAGGUGGAUUGCACAUCCCUUUGCUACCCAAAGGGACCCAGGGCUCCCUGAGGGAGCUCCAAGGAGGGAGCAGGCUCCAGCCAGGGUGUCUGUAACCCUGUUCUGUCUGGAAGCUGCCACCCCCCUGCUCUUUGUGCCCAGAUCACACUGCACAGGAGGCGAGACAGCACCAGGUAAUCACCAUCAGGCACAGGAAAGGGGGAGCUGCCACUGACCUGGGUCAUCAGAGUGUCACAUGCUGAGGCUAAACCAGACCCGAUGGAGGUGCCUGUCACGUUGAUAACCUGGAGGAGAGACAGGGAUUCUGGCCCAGAGCACUGAGUCCCUCCCAGCUGGGUGGGUAGACAGUUCUGCUACAAGUUUUUGGGAAGUUUCCAGCCCUUCUCUAUUUCUCAGAAUAACAAAUCUUGUUAACUAAAUAGACUCUUCUCCCCUCUGCUGGGGAAAAGGAUCCUCUAGGAAGGGGUGAGUAUCUAAAGGACCAGUGCUGCUCCCAGCCCAGGUGCUGGCCUUGCACUGGCACAAGCACUGCCUGCUCAGCUCCCCUCUCCUGCCUGUGCUCAGGGCAAAAGGUAGAAUAUUUUGGUGGGUGUGAUGUCUGUGUUGCAUCAGGCUGUGCUGAUGCACAGGGCCCUCACACAUACGUUCCUACAGGUUUGAGGUGGGUUUUUUUUUGUAAUACCUAAUUUGUGUGUUUUAAAUCCGAGGGGAAUUGGAGUGAUACGUACGGACACAGCCAGUGACACGGCAUCCAGCUCAGCUUUCCCCAGGUGGCCACAGAAGAUGGAGCUGACCACGCUGAUCAGGAACCCCAGCAGCUGGGAGAGGAACUGGGAUGAGAGGAGAAGGAAACAGUGAGAUGAGGACCCAUUAGGGCUUGUGGAACAUCAGCCCUCCCCCAGGAGCUGGCCUAUGAACAGCCAGGUUUCCUGGUGUUUCGGUCUAUGCCUCCAGGCCAGGGCUCUGCUGUCCUGGGAACCUGUCCCUGCUUGCCAACACUGCUGGGGUGUGGGAGGCAGCUCUGGGACUCACCCAGGCUCUCCGUGGCUUUGUGUUUCAAAGCAAACAUCUACCUGCCCUGUAGUAUUUUGGUGUUACACACCCAAUCUGCCAGAUGACCUCAUUUACGGGAGGCUUAACGGCUUCACUAGAAAUCCUCUUUCCCAGGAUGAAGGUUGCAGAGAGAGGAAAAAUAAAACGUCCCAAUGCUUUUUUCACAUUUGCGUGCAUCUGUGGAAAACUAUCCUCCAAAACCACAACAUCCUCUCCUCCUGGAGAUACGCCAAGGCCAUUCUGUGUGUUCCUCUCCAGGGCCUACAGCAAAGUGCAUCGCAGAGAUUGCACUCCAAACGUCAUUUUCCCUUGGCAAGAGGAUGUCCCUUCUACAGGCGUCCAGGGCACAGAGUUGUGGCACAGCUCAAACCAGAUGGUAGGUGUUAGAGAUGUUCUUACCCACUGAGGGGUGGGUACAACUGGAAACCAUGCCCAGGGUCUGCUUGUGCUGCUUCCCACCCAGCAGCUGGCAAGCCAAGAGCCCAGCACCGCUGGAGAACCAGCUCUGUGGGGUCAGAGGAAGAGCAGAACAAACCCUUCUCCUCUGCAGACCUCCCACUGCUGCCUGCAGGUGCAGUCCUGCUGCCAGGCCCAGGCAUGCUGGACCUGCUGCUGUAUGAUGUGACAUCGUGAAAAAUUGUAUAGUAGUAGUGGUGAGUCAUAGCCACAGUCAUUUUGAUUUUACGUGCCAUGAUGAAAUCGGGGUGUUUCAGGACAAGAGAGUGCUCCUCUCCAUGGUCCUUCCUUCCCCUGUGGCCAGCAGAGCAGUGGGUGUUGGAUGCAUGUGCCAGAGCCUGUGCUGCCUGUGGGAUGGUGCUGCAGGGGCAGCUAUGAAGAAACAGAAGUAGUUAUCAGCAAACGGUGUGUCCUGGCUGGUGGUGUGACUGUCACCAGCCCGGCUGUGAGAUGGCCAGAGUGUUCCUGAGGCGCCGUUAUCUCCUCUGGAGGCAGAGGGAAGUGAUAAGACUCAGAUGGUGCCAUUCAUGGUCCCUCAACAACCAGUGCAAGUGUGAGUCCCUUUGAAGUUUACUGGUGACCCUGCUGAGAUCAAUACCCUUGGCUGGCAAAGAGUGGGGAGAGAAUCAGGCAGAGACCCGGGAAAAAGGACUUUGAAAAUAAAAAGCCGUAUCUUUUCAGGCUCGGGGGAGAAAUGUUAUCUCCCAGCCCCAAGAGCCAGGUCCUGGGCUGGUCCCCAGAGAGCCAAACACACACAAGAAGGGCUGUGAUUGAAAUCCCUCUCCUUGUGUUUUGCUGCUGCUGUUUGAAACCAACUCUUUGCUUUCAGAAGUGCUGUUUUGUGUUUCUGCAGUGACAUGUGAAUCCCAAUCUUGCUGGGAAGCAGGAGAAUGGGCACCCCAGGAUCUGGUCUGAUGUGCCCUGAGGCCUCCCUCAUCACUGGCAGGACAGACUGGGUGCUGGCUCAGCCUGCCCCCUCUCAGAUGGGCCUAUGAGCUGCCAAGGGGGAUGUGGAUCUGUGCAAACUCUCAGGCUGAGCCCUGCCCUGGCGCUGGAUGGCCCCACAUUCACCCCUUCUCUUCCUGUGUCAGCGACAAGGACCUUGCCAGCUGCCUGACAGGAUUCAGUGGGGCUCAUCUGCUGGAGCCCCCAGACGAUGAGGAGGGUCAAAGGUAGCACAAGCUGCCCUCAGCAAUCCGGAUAUUAACAGGGUUGCAACACCAGUUAGAAGAAUUUGAAGGGUCAAAUUCCACCGGAGUGUAACAUCGUUGAACUCGGCUGUUUUAGACCUCCAGCGAAUCUGGAGCAGCGUUUUGGAAGGGUGACACCUUAACACAGACCUGUUUAAAGGAGUUAAUGUGUGACUGGCCCCAAACCAGCUGGAGCAGGCAGAUGGCUUGCCCUGCUGGAGCUGGUUUUGGCAGCUGGGACCCUGUGCAGUUCUCAGCGAUGCUGAUGUGAAUCCAGAAGAAAGCAGCUGAGAGCAGAAGGAUUGCAGUUGGCUUGCACCAUCUGCAGAGCAGGAUUAGCCCUUUUUUUAUUGCAGAUUCCCAGAAGAUGGCUACCCUGGGCUUUCUCUGGAUAUGUAUGUCCAUAUUCUGAAAUGCAGCCAACAUCCUGCUACUAAAAUAAACCCCACAAAUGCGCCAUGUCUGGAACCGUCGCGAUUAAGAGCUACCAAAUAAGAAAAUAGUCAGGACACAAUGGAUUUAUGUCAAACACUGAACUGUUUGAAGUGUGUCCCUUUCCUUUAAGAGACCCUACUGCUGGCUAGUGUCCAGAUGCCAUGGAAAAUCCGCUCCCCUCCGUGCAAUGUGGAAUUCAGGAUACAGCUAAAUUAAACACUAAAGAGCCUUUUGCAGUCAAAUUAGGUUUUGUUUGUGUCACACUAUAGGAUCAGCUGAUGGGUGUAUAUCCCCCAGCUUGGUGUCAUUGGUGCUGGGCAGAAGCCACAAAGCCUGAUGAGCUCGGAAUCACAGAAUCAUUUAGUUUGGAAAAGCCCUCUGAGAGCGAGUCCAGCCAUUAACUCAGCACUGCCAGGUUACCCCGUGUCUGUGAGCGCCACAUCCACGCGGUUUUCGAACACUUCCAGGGAUGGCGACUCCACCACUGCCCUGGGCAGCCUGUUCCAGGGCUGGACAACCCUUUUGGUGAAGAAUUUUUCCCAAAUACCCAACCUAGACCUCUCGGGGACAUUUCCUCUUGUGCUAUCACUUGUCACCUGGGAGAAGAGACCCCCCCACACACCUGGCUACAAUCUGUUUCCAGGUAGUUCUAUAGCACGAUAAGGUCCCCCCUGAGCCACUUUUUCUCCUCGGUCCCAUCCCGGGGUGGCUCGUGCGCGGUGUCCCCGGCAGGUGGCACUGGAGCCCCGCAGGUCCCUCCAGGCGCUCCCGCAGCACCGGGAGCAGCACCGAGGACGGGAGGGGACGGAGAGGGGGGAGAUCCUGAUCCCCUUUUCCAGCCGUUCUUGUCUCCGCCCCUCGGGCUCAGCACUCUGACCCUGCCUCGUUCCGUGAGUAUUCGUAACUUUCCGUGCCGACAAGACCCUAAUGGGCAUCGGGUGUUUGUUAAAAAUCCGGGGGAAAUCACAAUGUUUGCCAAAUAUGGUCCAAAUAUAUGCCAAAUAUUUGGCAAAUACUUUGGAAGAAUGUUUGCUAAAUAGUGAAAAAUGCAAUAUAUACUAGUCGAAGGGGAUGCAAUAUGAAAAAAACAGUACACAGAAAAAAGGAAUAGGAGUUAGAAAAUUGCAGGUGGGCACUAUAUAGACAAGAAACUGCUUGUUAAAAGCCCUGGGGUGUUGGCUUUCUAAUACCAAUGUCUCAAGUUGGUUCUCAAAUGGGCAACCUGAAGCCAUGAUUUUGCUGUGGAACCAGCACCUAGGCAGGCACUCAGCCACUCACCAUGGUGUAACCUCAGUUCAGUCACACCUCACCUUGUGAUUUUGUUCAGUAAUAACAGCUGCUUUUUAUUUCAUUGUUCCUUAAGAGAGAGAAAUGCUUUUGACUUGUUCUGUAUUUCAGAGCAUCUUCCUCCUGCUUUGUUCACUAAAGAUGGGGCCAGACAUAUUAACUGCAGUUGUAAAUAUUAUUUUUACAACAGCAGAAUAUUUAUCUUGCUGCAUGGGUUGGUCGAGUUCGGGGCUACAGUCUUAAAAAACAGCUUCCCUGCCCUGAAGAGCCCAGAUACUUAAUUAAGGCAGAUAAGGCAGGAUAAAUAAAAACAAGACAAAACUCCUCUUGCUUUGAACCACCUCUAGGGAGCAGGUCUUGGCAAAAGAAAAGAGGGAUUGUAAAGCUGCAAUAAUAAUAAUAAUGAUAAUUAAUUGUAUUUAUAAAGCAUCCCCUAAUGGCUCUGGAUGCUACACAACGAUUUUAAAUACAACUGAAAGCAGCAACCAUCACGAGAAGCCAAAUAAGGAAGGGCUUUAAAAAUAAAGGUGUUUUUUACAGUAGAUAUUAAGGUUUCAGUGGGCUGGUUUGGGGCUCUCCUGCAGCGUGGACACACGGACAUCAGUCGGAAGCAGGUGAGGAUCCUGCAGUGAAUUUCACAGGCUUGCAGAUUGCAGGCUUUGAUUGCAAAGAGCAAAUACAUUUUGCAGCCUGGUUUGCAUGUCACCAUUUCUGCUUUAUUUCAUUUCUGUACUCCAGCCAGCCAGACUGUGUAACUCAACACAGCCCAAUUUACUUUUAUAUUUCU